AUUAAUAUUAAACCGAUAUAGCAA
rnacentral:misc_RNA from 1 species